UACGAAUGGAGCGAGCGUUGUUCGGAAUCACUGGGCGUAAAGCGUGCGCAGGCGGUCUUGAAAGUCAGAAGUGAAAGCCCAGGGCUCAACCCUGGAAUUGCUUUUGAAACUCCAAGACUAGAGUACUGGAGGGGUUGGCGGAAUUUCGAGUGUAGCAGUGAAAUGCGUAGAUAUUCGAAGGAACACCGAUGGCGUAGGCAGCCAACUGGACAGUUACUGACGCUCAUGCACGAAAGCGUGGGGAUCAAACAGGAUUAGAAACCCUAGUAGUCC
rnacentral:rRNA from 1 species